AUUUUGGAUAUAUAUAUAUAUAUAUUUAUAUAUAUAUAUAUAUAUGUAUAUAUAUGGUGAUUUAUUUACCAAGAAACAAGAGUUGUUCAUAAAAUAAUGGGUUUAAAAAACAGAAGAUAAACACAAUUGUUCCAGAAGUUAAAGCUUAUAGGUAUAAUGAUGACAAAAUGGCUUGCUCAACCUUUUACUUCUACUCCAUUCUCCUGACUUUAUCUCCUGAUGUUGAUUUUCAAAUUGCAGUAUUUAAAAAAAUCCUCAAACUUUAUUUCCCUCAUAUCCAGGCACUAUAUGACAUAAAAUGAAGUUUUGCAAACAUUAUGCUUGUUACUCAUCUCUGGUAACACGUUUCUCAGCGUUUUCCUUUUUUUGUCU